rnacentral:RNase_P_RNA from 1 species
CAAGUAAACCAGAUAGUCGCGAGUAGGAAACUACUCGAGGAAAGUCGGAGCACCGUAGAGCAAGGUGCUAGGUAACGCCUAGUGGAAGCGAUUCUAAGGACAGUGCAACAGAAAUAGACCGCCAUUUAUGGUAAGGAUGGAAAGGCGAGGUAAGAGCUCACCAGCGGUUAGGUGACUAACCGGCUAUGUAAACCCCACCCGGUGCAAGGCCAAGAUAGGGAUAAAGAGUAUUGCUCGUACUCUCCGGUAGGUAGGCCGCUCGAGCUUAUCGGCGACGAUAAGCCUAGAAAGAUGAUUAUCUAAUACAAAACUCCGCUUAUAGGUUUACUUGAUUU